AUUCAUUAAGGUUCAGGGUUAAUGAUGGUCUUAGUGUUUUAAUGUUAAAAAAGAAAAGAAAAUUGUGUAAUUAAAGAAGAAGCGUUGCUUAAUUAAGGCUGGGAAGAAACGUUGCUUCUCUCCUUCCCUCGUGACUUCUCGACCGCUCCGACUCUUCUGGUGAUCUCUCCUCGGCGAAGCGGUGAAAACAAAGGAAAGAAAAAUAUCUCAACCUAUCAAGAGUCUCCUUUCAUCUCCAUCUCCAAAAGAUGGCUUCCUCGUGGAGAAAGUACAAGACCCGAAAGCGAGACCCAAGCCCUCAAAACGUCGUUCUUCUCGUCAUCGAUUUACAAAACCACUUCUCCUCCAUGGCCAAUCCUAUCCUCUACAACGCUCUCGCCACCAUCGACCUCUGCCGAUGCGCCUCUAUCCCCGUAUUGUUCACGCGCCACGUCCACAAAUCCCUUACGACUGACACCGCCAUGCUCGGCGAGUGGUGGAACGAGUUGCAGCUUCAGCUUUAUGGGUUGUAUAAGAUUGCUACCGAAGGAGGUUGUUAAUAACUGCUCGUGCUAAGUGUUGAGGUAUCUUCAUGUUGGAGUCAUGUAUGUAUCACCAAGUUCACAUCUGAUUCAAGAGAAGAUGAUUGCCUGAUCAUGUUUAGUUGAGUGAGAUAGUUGACGUAUCUUCACAUUGGAGUCAUGUGGGUAUCACCAAGUUAACAGCUUGCAUUUAUAACGGUGCUUGUUGGUGAAGGGAUGGAAAGGAUCAAGCUGGAGCUUUCCCCGCCGGAAGAAGAGUAAGGAUGAAGAAGACUAUGCAUGUGCUAUACGUGAGGAUAGGUACAGAACAUGAGAAGUUUGGUUUUGAGGUUAAUACUUUGCGCCCUAUGAAGUAUGAUCAAAUAGCCAAGCUGCUUAACAGUAUUGCCGAAAGAUUUGAAUGGGAGAAAUUCAUGGAAGGUGACAAGAUCAUACUUAGCAGAAGGGAUUUUAAUAUGAGUGUUUUGGCUGCGUACACGCGGCCUAACUCAGUGUCUGAAAUUGUCAAGGUACAUUGUAAACACUGUUGCUACUGUUAAAGCUCCCAAAUAUUUUAAGCUCUUGUAACACAGUUUCUGGCAACCAAAUAAAACAUUUUGCAAGUGAAUUUGCUAAAUAUAGAAAAAUAAUCUUAUGGUCUUCGUUGUUAUCCCUCAAAUAGCAUGGAAGGCUAAAGGAAAACAAUUAAUGAUUGUGUUAACUCUGCUGGGAAAGUGUAUGAUUUUGGUAUAACAUGUUUGUUGUUGAGCUGUAUUAUACAUUUGUACUUGUGGAAAACUAUCAACAGAGUUCUAAAUAAAAGUGUACUAGGAGAAGGAAAUGCAAUGUUCUGAAAA